rnacentral:rRNA from 1 species
GACGAACGCUGGCGGCGUGCUUAACACAUGCAAGUCGAACGGAAAGGCCCUGCGUUUGUUGGGUGCUCGAGUGGCGAACGGGUGAGUAACACGUGAGUAACCUGCCCUUGACUUUGUGAUAACUUCAGGAAACUGGGGCUAAUACCGGAUAUGAGCUCCUGCUGCAUGGGGGGGGUUGGAAAGUUUCGGCGGUUGGGGAUGGACUCGCGGGUUAUCAGCUUGUUGGUGGGGUAGUGGCUUACCAGGGCUUUGACGGGUAGGCGGCCUGGGAGGGUGACCGGCCACAUUGGGACUGAGAUACGGCCCAGACUCCAACGGGAGGCAGCAGUGGGGAAUAUUGCACAAUGGGGGGAAGCCUGAUGCAGCAACGCCGGGUGCGGGAUACCGGCUUUCGGGUUGUAAACCGCUUUCGCAUGUGACGAAGCGUGAGUGACGGUACUGGGUAAAGAAGCCCCGGCUAACUACGUG